GUUUGUUUUAUCUUGAUAAGUAAAAUGAGACGUCAAUUUAGCCAAUUUGGGAUGGGUAAAAUGGGACGGAGGGAGUAUUUGUUUUCUCAGCCUCCAUCAUUAAUUAUUCACCUCAAGUUCUUUAAUAUUCUUAUCUACUUUCACAUUCUUUUUAUUAAGUAAUCUUCAAUAUAUUUUCAUACAAAGAAAAUAAUAGAGGAAAACAAAAACGUAAAAAAAGAAAAAGAAAGAAAAUGGAAGCUCCUCCAAAAUAUCAAAAUAUGUCAUAUUAUGAUGAUGUCCAAAGGUGCCAUGAAGAAAAAGGAUGCCUCUAUGCUUGUAUGUUCGCGAUGUGUUGCUGCUUUUGCUGCAAGGAGAGGGCCUGUUGUUGCUGUAUUUGAACUAGAAAUUAGCAUGUAUUAUUCAAAAAUUAUGUAUCUUUACAUGAUUCGAUAUAAAUACGAUAAUAAUUCUUUAGGAUCCAAGCAAAA